UGAAAGCCUCUCCUUUCUACUCAUCCGU
rnacentral:piRNA from 1 species